UUAAAGAAAAGAAAUGUUUUGACGAAAAUGUUUUAUUUGGUUUAAUUAAUUCAACUUAAGAAUGUUCCGUUUGAUUGGAUUUGACAGGAUCGAAUAUUUCGUGAGAAAAUGUUUUGACGGAAUUAUUUGGUUUAAUUCAUCCAACUUAAGGUACAGUCAAGAGGUGCAUAAAGUUAACACAAUUUAUCUAUAAUAAUCCUUUUCGGAUUUGAAAGUGCAAUUACCACUUUAUACAACAUUAUACCAUAAUCCACGCUUAAACCAAGUAAUUCCUGACUUUCAACCCUCAACGUGUAAUUUCUCUGGUAACGUUACACGAUGAAUUUGCAUAACAAACGCGAAAUAUCAACUUGAUCCGUGUUAAUUACAUAACAAGGUAAAAAAAAAUUGAGUUCUGACAAACUCUUCCUUAUGUAUUCUUAGUCUAUGUAUAUUUAUGUAUUAUGCAUGCUUGAAAAAAUAAUGUAAAUAUAUUUUUAGAAUCAUCUCGCGUGAGUUCCAAUAAUAAAACAGAUAAUAAUUUUUCGA